rnacentral:rRNA from 1 species
GUGACGCUGGCGGCGUGCCUAUACAUGCAAGUCGAACGGGAUCCAAGAGUGCUUGCACUUUUGUGUGAGAGUGGCGCACGGGUGAGUAACACGUAGCUGACCUGCCUUUCACUGGGGGAUAACUCGUCGAAAGAUGAGCUAAUACCGCGUACGCUUGGAGAGUUUAGAAGUCUUCAAGGAAAGAAUUAGCAUCGGUGAAAGAGGGGGCUGCGGUCCAUCAGCUAGUUGGUGAGGUAAAAGCUCACCAAGGCACCGACGGGUAGGGGACCUGAGAGGGUGACCCCCCACACUGGAACUGAGACACGGUCCAGACUCCUACGGGAGGCAGCAGUAAGGAAUAUUGCACAAUGGACGCUAGUCUGAUGCAGCAACGCCGCGUGAAGGAUGAAGGCUUUCGAGUUGUAAACUUCUUUUCUCAGGGACGAGCAAGGACGGUCCUGAGGAAUAAGUCUCGGCUACUACGUGCCACAGCCGCGGUAAACGUAGGAGGCAGCCGUUAUCCGGAGUACUGGCCGUAAAGCGCUGUAGCGGUUUUGUAGGUCAGAUGUGAAAGCUCCAAGC